rnacentral:rRNA from 1 species
GACAGAGGGUGCAAACGUUGUUCGGAAUUACUGGGCGUAAAGCGUGCGCAGGCGGUCUUGCAAGUCGGGCGUGAAAUCCCACGGUUCAACCGUGGAAGUGCACUCGAAACUGCUUGGCUAGAGUUUUGGAGAGGAAGGCGGAAUGCUUGGUGUAGAGGUGAAAUUCGUAGAUAUCAAGCGGAACACCGGUGGCGAAGGCGGCUUUCUGGACAAUGACUGACGCUAAAACACGAAAGCGUGGGGAGCAAACAGG